UCCUCGAGCUGUUUUGGGUCAGGCAGUCUAACAAUAGGAGUGGCUCCCGGCCUACACGUCUCAGAGCUCCCAGGGCGCUGGACGGAAAAGGUUUGGACAUUGGCACUUCUACCCAAAUAAGUUAGUAGGCUUCUGAACCAGAGGACAUCUGCUAAGGACAGAGAGAACCCAUCUGUUCGAAACCCUGCGCCUUUAGAAACAGCAAGUUCCCAAGAUACAGAGAAACCUACCACGGUAGUC